GCUUACGGCCAUACCACCCUGAGAACGCCCGAUCUCGUCUGAUCUCGGAAGCUAAGCAGGGUCGGGCCUGGUUAGUUCUUGGAUGGGAGACCGCCUGGGAAUACCCGGUGCUUUAAGCU
rnacentral:rRNA from 1 species